rnacentral:rRNA from 2 species
CGCCNNCGGCGCAUUAAGCUAGUUNGUAAGGUAACGGCUUACCAAGGCGACGAUGCGUAGCCNACCUNAGAGGGUGAUCGGCCCACACUGGGGACUGAGAACACGGCCCCAGACUCCUACGGGAGGCAGCAGUNAGGGAAUCUUCNCNCAAUGGACGAAANUCUGACGGAGCAACGCCGCGUGAGUGAGGAAAGGCCUUCGGGUCGUAAAGCUCUGUUGUGGAGGGAAGAACAAGUACCGGGGUAACUACCGGUACCUUGACGGUACCUCACCAGAAAGCCACGGCUAACUACGUGCCAGCAGCCGCGGUAAUACGUAGGUGGCAAGCGUUCUGCGGAAUUAUUGGGCGUAAAGCGCGCGCAGGCGGCUUCUUAAGUCUGAUGUGAAAUCUCGGGGCUCAACCCCGAGCGGCCAUUGGAAACUGGGAAGCUUGAGUGCAGAAGAGGAGAGUGGAAUUCCACGUGUAGCGGUGAAAUGCGUAGAUAUGUGGAGGAACACCAGUGGCGAAGGCGACUCUCUGGUCUGUAACUGACGCUGAGGCGCGAAAGCG